rnacentral:rRNA from 1 species
UACGUAGGUGGCAAGCGUUAUCCGGAUUUACUGGGUGUAAAGGGCGUGUAGGCGGGAAAGCAAGUCAGAUGUGAAAACCAUGGGCUCAACCUGUGGCCUGCAUUUGAAACUGUUUUUCUUGAGUACUGGAGAGGCAGACGGAAUUCCUAGUGUAGCGGUGAAAUGCGUAGAUAUUAGGAGGAACCCCAGUGGCGAAGGCGGUCUGCUGGACAGCAACUGACGCUGAGGCGCGAAAGCGUGGGGAGCAAACAGG